rnacentral:tRNA from 2 species
GCGUCCGUAGCUCAGCUGGAUAGAGCAACGGCCUUCUAAGCCGUGGGUCAUAGGUUCGAGUCCUAUCGGGCGCGCCA